AUUGAACGCUGGCGGCAGGCCUAACACAUGCAAGUCGAGCGGAUGAAGGGAGCUUGCUCCUGGAUUCAGCGGCGGACGGGUGAGUAAUGCCUAGGAAUCUGCCUGGUAGUGGGGGAUAACGUCCGGAAACGGGCGCUAAUACCGCAUACGUCCUGAGGGAGAAAGUGGGGGAUCUUCGGACCUCACGCUAUCAGAUGAGCCUAGGUCGGAUUAGCUAGUUGGUGGGGUAAAGGCCUACCAAGGCGACGAUCCGUAACUGGUCUGAGAGGAUGAUCAGUCACCUGGGAUUUGAGCCACGGCCCAGCCCCCUCCGGGGGCCACCGGGGGGGAUUUUUGGACAAUGGCCGCAGCCUUUCCCCCGCCUUCCGGGGUGGGUAAGAACGGUCUUCGUUUUUUAAGCCUUUUUAGUUGGGGGGGAAGGCCAGUAAUUUAAUCCCUUCUUUUUUUGCCUUCCCCAACAAAAAAACCCCGGCCUAUCUUCGCC
rnacentral:rRNA from 1 species